rnacentral:rRNA from 1 species
GACGAACGCUGGCGGCGUGCCUAAUACAUGCAAGUCGAACGCAGUGGGGACGGGUGAGUAACACGUGGGUAACCUCCCAUCAGAGGGGAUAACACUUGGAAACAGGUGCUAAACCGAUACUGAUGGAUGGACCCGCGGUGCAUUAGCUAGUUGGUGAGGUAACGGCGUACCAAGGCCACGAGGCAUAGCCGAGUUGAGAGGGUGAUCGGCCACAUUGGGACUGAGACACGGCCCAGACUCCUACGGGAGGCAGCAGUAGGGAAUCUUGGGCAAUGGGCGAAAGUCUGACGGAGCAACGCCGCGUGUAUGAAGAAGGUUUUCGGGUCGUAAAACUCUGUUGUCAGGGAGGCGGUAUCUAACGAGAAAGCCACGGCUAACUACGUGCCAGCAGCCGCGGUAAUAC